rnacentral:rRNA from 1 species
AUGGUUCUUGAGUUUUUACUUCUUAUGCUAGAGCAAGAGCUAUCUACAGUAGGCACCCAGAAUGCACAUGAAUUGAUUGCUAUAACAGUCUGGCAGGGAAAGUCCCAAGAUGCAUACCAAACCUUGAUGGGAGCCCGUGCUAUAGCGAUAAAUUAUGUUAAACCUCACUCCUCGAGGGCAACACUUAGAACAGGGGGAUGGGUAAGACCUCCCAGGACUGUCCUCAGAGAUAACAAAGGAAGGUUCAUUGUUGGUGGGAACUGGAGGAUGGAUUGGUGCAGAUGUCUUAACAACAGAAGUGUUGGCUCUAAGAUUUGGCUUAUCACUUGCACAGAAGGUGAGAUGUAA